rnacentral:rRNA from 1 species
AGGAGAGUUUGAUCCUGGCUCAGGAUGAACGCUAGCUACAGGCUUAACACAUGCAAGUCGUGGGGCAGCAUGAACUUAGCUUGCUAAGUUUGAUGGCGACCGGCGCACGGGUGAGUAACGCGUAUCCAACCUUCCCCCUGGUAGGGCAUAGCCCGGCGAAAGUCGGAUUAAUACCCUAUGUUUUCCCUUGACGGCAUCCGACGGGGAACAAAGAUUUAUCGCCAUGGGAUGGGGAUGCGUCCGAUUAGGUAGACGGCGGGGUGACGGCCCACCGUGCCUUCGAUCGGUAGGGGUUCUGAGAGGAAGGUCCCCCACACUGGAACUGAGACACGGUCCAGACUCCUACGGGAGGCAGCAGUGAGGAAUAUUGGUCAAUGGGCGGAAGCCUGAACCAGCCAAGUAGCGUGCAGGAUGACGGCCCUACGGGUUGUAAACUGCUUUUGGAGGGGAAUAAAGUGCGGGACGUGUCCUGCUUUGCAUGUACCCUCAGAAUAAGGACCGGCUAAUUCCGUGCCAGCAGCCGCGGUAAUACGGAAGGUCCGGGCGUUAUCCGGAUUUAUUGGGUUUAAAGGGAGCGCAGGCCGGUGCUUAAGCGUGACGUGAAAUGCCGCGGCUCAACCGUGGAAGUGCGUCGCGAACUGGGUGCCUUGAGUGGGUUCGACGCCGGCGGAAUUCGUGGUGUAGCGGUGAAAUGCUUAGAUAUCACGAAGAACCCCGAUUGCGAAGGCAGCCGGCGAGGCCUCAACUGACGCUAAAGCUCGAAGGUGCGGGUAUCGAACAGGAUUAGAUACCCUGGUAGUCCCCU